GUGGGGAAUAUUGGACAAUGGGCGAAAGCCUGAUCCAGCAAUGCCGCGUGAGUGAUGAAGGCCUUAGGGUUGUAAAGCUCUUUUACCAGGGAUGAUAAUGACAGUACCUGGAGAAUAAGCUCCGGCUAACUCCGUGCCAGCAGCCGCGGUAAUACGGAGGGAGCUAGCGUUGUUCGGAAUUACUGGGCGUAAAGCGCACGUAGGCGGUUACUCAAGUCAGAGGUGAAAGCCCGGGGCUCAACCCCGGAACUGCCUUUGAAACUAGGUAGCUAGAAUCCUGGAGAGGUGAGUGGAAUUCCGAGUGUAGAGGUGAAAUUCGUAGAUAUUCGGAAGAACACCAGUGGCGAAGGCGGCUCACUGGACAGGUAUUGACGCUGAGGUGCGAAAGCGUGGGGAGCAAACAGGAUUAGAUACCCCGGUAGUCC
rnacentral:rRNA from 1 species